GAUGAACGCUGGCGGCGUGCCUAAUACAUGCAAGUCGAGCGAAGCGGGGACGGGUGAGUAACACGUGGAUAACCUCCUAUAAGACUGGGAUAACUUCGGGAAACCGGAGCUAAACCGGAUACCUAUUGCUGGAUCCGUGCCGCAUUAGCUAGUUGGUAAGGUAACGGCUUACCAAGGCGACGAUGCGUAGCCGACCUGAGGGGAUGAUCGGCCACACGGGAACUGAGACACGGUCCAGACUCCUACGGUAGGCAGCAGUAGGGAAUCUUCCGCAAUGGGCGAAAGCCUGACAGAGCAACGGCGCGUGAGUGAUGAAGGUCUUCGGAGCGUAAAACUCUGUUAUUAGGGAAGCGGUAGCUAAAGAGAAAGCCACGGCUAACUACGUGCCAGCAGCCGCGGUAAUAG
rnacentral:rRNA from 1 species